rnacentral:lncRNA from 1 species
UUCUCUUCAUACCUCUACUCUCUCACUCCUCCCUCUGUCUAUUGGUAUUUUUUACUGGGUAAUCUUAUUCUCAUCUUGUGUUUCUUCUAUUGAUUUAUUUCAGUCCUUCAUAAUAUGCUAGAUAUUUGUGUUUUUCCCUUAAUAGAGAAGGAUUCCUGUAGAGAAAGUGCAAUAUGUUAAUAAAUUUUGUUAUAUAGGUGUUUGACAAAAUUCUUCAACCAGGUUUUCAAUUAGAUUUCUUAUGCAUGCUCCUGUAUCUUAUUAUCUCUGGUUUCACUCUUUGGUUGCAUUUUGAGUAAGGACUGCCAUGUACUUUUUUAAUCUCUCAUUUUCAAUUGGAUAAUGAUUCUGAUUCUUCUUUUUUACUUAGUAUUUUAGACUGUUGAUUUGUGCCUCUAUAUUUUCCUAUUUCUUGCUGCAUCAUUUUAAUUUCUAAUAUAUCACCAUUAGAUGUUGUUAGAAGGGUAUUUAUUUGAAUUGUUCUGUUACUGAAACAAACUUCAUACUAAUGUGAAGAAGAAGAAGAAGAAAAAGAGCCAGUGCUUUGUAAUUUUUCUUUCUUGAAUGAAUACCUUGCAACAAAUAAAUUAUCUUACUAUGUUUUUGGGCUGCAUUGGGCUGCAUUCAUAGCAUAUAACAUUUUUCUAGGUUUUUGAGCAUAUUAGAUAAGUGAGUCAGGUAAGUCACCAAUACUUCAAUAGGUAUGAAUACCUUGUGGUGGUAAAGAAUGUCAUGCUUUUCAUAUUGCUAUAUAUUUUUUCUUAAUAUACGGAAUUAGUUAUAACUAAAAACUAUUGCUAUAGGUUAAAGAUAAUGAAAAGGGCAUCAACACACAGGUAGCAUACAAAAAUUUAAAAGGGCGACAAUUUCAAGAUUCAACCAUGUACUCCUCUUCGUUUGAGCCGUGGUAGCUUUUACAUCACUUUUCAAAUUUCUUUGACCUUUUUGCAAGUACAUAGCAGCCAUUGGAAAGUGUAAAUUUUCAUUAUAAAUUUCUUAUGCAGAGGAUUUUGAAAAUGAGAGUCCAGCAUCUUAAGCAAAUUGAUCAAAUCCUAGCAUCUCUACAACAUAAUGUAAAAUGCCUUAACACCAUAACUGUAGUAUUUCCCAAUGGAUUUCUUAGUACCCUUAGAUAAACCCGCUACUAUCCUUGUCCAGUUUAUCUUAAAGCAUGAGGUAGCCAACCUUUGAGUUAAGAAGCUUGAUUUGGGUUGUGAAGUAGUUAUCCUGGAAGUAUCUGAAAUUUUAUUUGUUGUCGCAGGCUUCAUUGCGACUCUAUUCGUCUUAAAAUUCAAUACAACAAGUUCUAAAACUGAGUGAUACUUGUUUUUUUCUUUGCAGCAGGUGGAGACUCAAUUGUCUCUAAUUGAUCCUAUUAUUGACCAAGGCCCGCUCAAGAGAACGAUAGUAUGAGAUAUGAUUGGCGUGUAAAACUGUUGCAUGGGAACAAGAACUGGGACAAGGUUGUCUAGAUAGUUCAGAGUGAUAGUUCAACCAAAAGUUUCUUCCACAAGGGAUUUUGUUGUAGAUUACUUGGCAUUGAAUCUAAUCUUAUGGUGAGACUGC